UAUGGGAUAGCCACUAGAAAUGGUGGGUAAUACUGUAUAAUCCCUGCGGGGGAAAGAUUUAUCGCUAUUAGAUGAGCCUAUGUUAGAUUAGCUAGUUGGUAGGGUAAAGGCCUACCAAGGCAGUGAUCUAUAGCUGGUCUGAGAGGAUGAUCAGCCACACUGGAACUGAGAUACGGUCCAGACUCCUACGGGAGGCAGCAGUGGGGAAUAUUGGACAAUGGGCGCAAGCCUGAUCCAGCUAUGCCGCGUGAGUGAGGAAGGCCUUAGGGUUGUAAAACUCUUUCAGUGGGGAAGAUAAUGACGGUACCCACAGAAGAAGUCCCGGCAAACUCCGUGCCAGCAGCCGCGGUAAUACGGAGGGGGCAAGCGUUGUUCGGAAUUAUUGGGCGUAAAGGGCAUGUAGGCGGUUCGGUAAGUUAAAGGUGAAAUGCCAGGGCUUAACCCUGGAGCUGCUUUUAAUACUGCCAGACUCGAGUCCGGGAGAGGAUAGCGGAAUUCCUAGUGUAGAGGUGAAAUUCGUAGAUAUUAGGAGGAACACCAGUGGCGAAG
rnacentral:rRNA from 1 species